AUGGCGGGGCAGGCGCCGGCCGUGGUGGCGUUCGCGCUGGCGGCCGCCAUCCUCUCCACGCCGCCGCCGCAGUCGGACAACUUCUCCAACAUCCCGCCCACGCUCUCCGGGGACGACAAGGCGCAGGUGAGGAUCAAGCACCCCAAGUCGGCCAAGGCGCUGCAGUGCACCUCCAAGUGCGUCGCCACCUGCAUCCGCGGCGGCGAGGGGCCCAUCAACGUCCGGAGGCCCCUCGUCGUCUUCAAGGAGGGGCAGUUCCGCAGCCGCCUCUACUGCCUGACAGAGUGCUCGGACAUCUGCAACCUCAUCAAGGACGGCGAGGACGGGCCAUGA
rnacentral:rRNA from 1 species